rnacentral:rRNA from 1 species
GUCCACACUGUAAACGAUGAUUACUAGGUGUUGGAGGAUUGACCCCUUCAGUGCCGCAGUUAACACAAUAAGUAAUCCACCUGGGGAGUACGACCGCAAGGUUGAAACUCAAAGGAAUUGACGGGGGCCCGCACAAGCAGUGGAGUAUGUGGUUUAAUUCGAUGCAACGCGAAGAACCUUACCAAGUCUUGACAUCCCUUGACGAUACUGGAAACAGUAUUUCCUUCGGAGCAAGGAGACAGGUGGUGCAUGGUUGUCGU